GAAAAAACAAAUUUAUGAUUUAUCAAUGGAAAACCAGAAAGUUAAGAAAGACCUUUUAGAAGCACAGACAAACAUAGCCUUUCUUCAGAGUGAGUUAGAUGCUUUGAAAAGUGAUUAUGCUGAUCAGAGUCUGAAUACUGAAAGAACAGCUAACCGGAAGCUACAUGACAGUAAUGAUGGCCUUAGAAGUGCCCUUGAAAACAGUUAUAG
rnacentral:lncRNA from 1 species